UGGGGAAUAUUGGACAAUGGGCGCAAGCCUGAUCCAGCCAUGCCGCGUGUGUGAAGAAGGCCUUUUGGUUGUAAAGCACUUUAAGCGAGGAGGAGGCUACUUGGAUUAAUACUCUAAGAUAGUGGACGUUACUCGCAGAAUAAGCACCGGCUAACUCUGUGCCAGCAGCCGCGGUAAUACAGAGGGUGCGAGCGUUAAUCGGAUUUACUGGGCGUAAAGCGUGCGUAGGCGGCUUCUUAAGUCGGAUGUGAAAUCCCUGAGCUUAACUUAGGAAUUGCAUUCGAUACUGGGAAGCUAGAGUAUGGGAGAGGAUGGUAGAAUUCCAGGUGUAGCGGUGAAAUGCGUAGAGAUCUGGAGGAAUACCGAUGGCGAAGGCAGCCAUCUGGCCUAAUACUGACGCUGAGGUACGAAAGCAUAGGGAGCAAACAGG
rnacentral:rRNA from 1 species